GAGACUUCCGAUUCUAAGGGAUGAUUAUUUGGAUGCAUAUUUCCAGCUCCUUCCUUCGGAUCCUUAUUUUUUCCUUUCCACGGUGGCAUCCAUCAAUCUAAGGAAAUUUAGCGCCCACUGAGACCAAAGUCCAUGUGGUCAGACACAAAAGAGCCAUCGAUUGCUGAACCUGUUCACGCCUACCUUCAAAGGCACAAAAAGAACACAGGAAGUCAAUAUAAAGCAGGCAAGCAGCUUCCUUGAGAUAUUGGCAAGAAUUCUCCCCAAAACUACUGUGAACUUGAAAAGAAAAUGGGAUCUGUAGAUAUUUCAAAAGUAUCA
ensembl:lincRNA